rnacentral:rRNA from 1 species
AGUGAACGCUGGCGGUAGGCCUAACACAUGCAAGUCGAACGGCAGCACAGUAAGAGCUUGCUCUUACGGGUGGCGAGUGGCGGACGGGUGAGGAAUACAUCGGAAUCUACUUUUUCGUGGGGGAUAACGUAGGGAAACUUACGCUAAUACCGCAUACGACCUACGGGUGAAAGCAGGGGAUCUUCGGACCUUGCGCGAUUGAAUGAGCCGAUGUCGGAUUAGCUAGUUGGCGGGGUAAAGGCCCACCAAGGCGACGAUCCGUAGCUGGUCUGAGAGGAUGAUCAGCCACACUGGAACUGAGACACGGUCCAGACUCCUACGGGAGGCAGCAGGGGGGAAUAUUGGACAAUGGGCGCAAGCCUGAUCCAGCCAUACCGCGUGGGUGAAGAAGGCCUUCGGGUUGUAAAGCCCUUUUGUUGGGAAAGAAAAGCAGCAGGUUAAUACCCCGCUGUUCUGACGGUACCCAAAGAAUAAGCACCGGCUAACUUC